rnacentral:rRNA from 1 species
CCUACGGGAGGCAGCAGUGGGGAAUAUUGCACAAUGGGGGGAACCCUGAUGCAGCGACGCCGCGUGAGUGAAGAAGUAUUUCGGUAUGUAAAGCUCUGUCAGCAGGGAAGAAGAAAGACGGUACCUGACCAAGAAGCUCCGGCUAACUACGUGCCAGCAGCCGCGGUAAGACGUAGGGGGCAAGCGUUAUCCGGAAUUACUGGGUGUAAAGGGAGCGUAGACGGCAGGGCAAGUCUGGAGUGAAAGGGAUGGGCGCAACCCCAGGAGUGCACUGGAAACUGUCCGGCUGGAGUGCAGGAGAGGAAAGUGGAAUUCCAAGUGUAGCGGUGAAAUGCGUAGAUAUAAGGAAGAACACCAGUGGCGAAGGCGGCUUACUGGACUGUAACUGACGUUGAGGCUCGAAAGCGUGGGGAGCAAACAGGAUUAGAUACCCGGGUAGUC